AACGAACGCUGACGGCGUGCUUCAUACAUGCAAGUCGAGCGGAUGUAGCAAUACAUCAGCGGCGAACGGGUGCGUAACACGUGAACAACCUGCCCUCAGGUUUGGGAUAACGGCUCCAACGAGCCGCUAAUACCGGUUAGGUUAGUCUGGUCGCAUGGCCGGAUUAAGAAAGGUGCAAUUGCAUCGCCUGAGGAUGAGUUCGCGGACCAUUAGCUAGUUGGUGGGGUAAAGGCCCACCAUGGCUACGAUGGUUAGCCGGCCUGAGAGGGUGAUCGGCCACAUUGGGACUGAGAUACGGCCCAGACUCCUACGGGAGGCAGCAGUAGGGAAUUUUGCGCAAUGGACGAAAGUCUGACGCAGCAACGCCGUGUGAGGGAUGAAGCAUUUCGGUGUGUAAACCUCUGUCGUUGGUGACUAAAGUUUUCAGGAGUGGAAAGCCUGGAGAUUGAAUGUAGCCAAGAAGGAAGCACUGGCUAACUCUGUGCCAGCAGCCGCGGUAAUACAGGGAGUGCAAGCGUUGUUCGGAAUUACUGGGCGUAAAGGG
rnacentral:rRNA from 1 species